AUGCACGCUGGCGGCGUGCCUAAUACAUGCAAGUCGAGCGAACGGACGAGAAGCUUGCUUCUCUGAUGUUAGCGGCGGACGGGUGAGUAACACGUGGAUAACCUACCUAUAAGACUGGGAUAACUUCGGGAAACCGGAGCUAAUACCGGAUAAUAUUUUGAACCGCAUGGUUCAAAAGUGAAAGACGGUCUUGCUGUCACUUAUAGAUGGAUCCGCGCUGCAUUAGCUAGUUGGUAAGGUAACGGCCUACCAAGGCAACGAUGCAUAGCCGACCUGAGAGGGUGAUCGGCCACACUGGAACUGAGACACGGUCCAGACUCCUACGGGAGGCAGCAGUAGGGAAUCUUCCGCAAUGGGCGAAAGCCUGACGGAGCAACGCCGCGUGAGUGAUGAAGGUCUUCGGAUCGUAAAACUCUGUUAUUAGGGAAGAACAUAUGUGUAAGUAACUGUGCACAUCUUGACGGUACCUAAUCAGAAAGCCACGGCUAACUACGUG
rnacentral:rRNA from 1 species